GACGAACGCUGGCGGCGUGCUUAACACAUGCAAGUCGAACGGAAAGGCCCUGCUUUUGUGGGGUGCUCGGGUGGCGAACGGGUGAGUAACACGUGAGUAACCUGCCCUUGACUUUGGGAUAACUUCAGGAAACUGGGGCUAAUACCGGAUAGGAGCUCCUGCUGCAUGGUGGGGGUUGGAAAGUUUCGGCGGUUGGGGAUGGACUCGCGGCUUAUCAGCUUGUUGGUGGGGUAGUGGCUUACCAAGGCUUUGACGGGUAGCCGGCCUGAGAGGGUGACCGGCCACAUUGGGACUGAGAUACGACCCAGACUCCUACGGGAGGCAGCAGUGGGGAAUAUUGCACAAUGGGCGGAAGCCUGAUGCAGCAACGCCGCGUGCGGGAUGACGGCCUUCGGGUUGUAAACCGCUUUCGCCUGUGACGAAGCGUGAGUGACGGUAAUGGGUAAAGAAGCACCGGCUAACUACGUG
rnacentral:rRNA from 1 species